CAAAAACUUCACAUUCUAGAAUUAUUUGGGAAAACUUGCUCUUUCCAGAACAGAAAUAGUAAUGUAACCAUUGGAUGGCUUGAUUUGGAAAUAAGCUCAGAAUAUCUAGUCCUGACCCACUGUUGUGGGCAAGGCUGGCAUACACCAGCUCAGGCUGCCCGGCGCCCCAUCCAGCCCAGCCUUGAAUGCUUCCAGGAAUGGGGCAUCUGCAACUUCUCUGGGCAGCCUGUGCUAAGGUCUUAUCAACCAAUCAGUGAGGAAAAAACCCCUCACAUCUAAGGUAAAUUUCCCUUCUUUUCUUUAAAACCAUUCCCUGUUAUCUUAUUGCUAUCUGCCUGUGUAAAAACUUUGUCUCCCUCCUGUUCCCUUCAAGUACUGGAAGGUCACAAUGAGGUGUCCCCAGAACCUUCUUUUCUCCAGGCUGAGCAAGCCCUGUUCUCUCAGCCUGUCUUUGUAGGAGAGGUGCUCCAGCCCUCUGAUCUUUGUGACCAUCCUCUGGACUCACUCCAGCAGCUCCACAUACUACUUGUGCUGGGGGCCCGGACUUGGAAGCAACAUUCCAGAUGUGUAGUAUAUGACACAAGGUUGUAAAAAGGAAGAUACGAGAGUUAUGAAAGGCUGAGGAAACCUUGGGUGAUUAAUCCCCAUUACGCUUCUCACCAGUAAAUCUGCUUGGAUGAACAGUGGAGACUGAAGACAAUGCUUUUGUCACUUGAUUAUUCUGUGCUGUUGGGCAAGUCAAUUCAGCCCUUCAUACUCUGCUUUCUGUCUAGGUGGGUAGUGAUAAUGGCGAGGGGAAGAACAAAAAAUUCUAGUCAUGACAAUUACCAGUGUCAGGGGCUAUAAACCUAUACUACAGUAAAAACUUCAGUGUGUGUAGUAGUAUCCAAACUAAUACUUUAUAAAAAUCAGCACUCAAGACAAAUAACUCCUCAUAAAUAGUAGCUAAGAGGUGCCUAUAUCUCUUUUUUCAAGAGAUAUACAUGUUUACUUCUAAGUAUUUUGAGGAGUAUUUUUCAAAACCUGACACUUGGAAUUUAUGAACCAUGCUGUUUGUACAAUCAGUGUACAUUAGUAGGCUGCAAGUGUUCUUCUUGGAAGCCUGGAGGUGCUCUUCCUUCUGCUUUGGUCCUUAGAAUGCCUCCAAAGUAUGCAUCAGUAGCCUAUUGAUGCACAGUCUGUUGUGACUUAUUGUUAUGUUCAAUGCACAGCAGAUUACGAAGGUAGGUUAUUUGUUAGCAUGAUUUUCCAGACUGCUGCUUGAAGAAUUUUAACAGUGUCCACUGAACUCCCUAAUGCGUACUUCAGAAUGAAUAAAACUCUGCUUGAUGAUGUUUACA
rnacentral:lncRNA from 1 species